rnacentral:lncRNA from 1 species
UCCACGGUUGUGAUUCUAUUACGAUCAACUUUAACCCCCUUUUCAGUAUCAAACCAGCUACACUUAAAUGUAACUACCUUUUUGCCGUCGUGAUAAUUGAGCACAACUACAUCCUGUAAACGACCAUAGUAAUUGGACUCAGAAUCUUGAUAGCAACUUCCUAACACCACAACUCCAGAAUUGACUGAUGUGAGUUCAUGCAAGUCAUCGACUUUAAAUCUAUACCCAUUAACGAUGCAACCAGGAAAAGAACUAACAACUUUGUAAGGUCCUUGGAUGACAUCUAUAAAAUGCUCAGAAAUACUCUCCUCUUCAACCCUUUUCUUAAACCACUGUUGGAAAUUAGCAUUAGUGAAUGUUUCCAAUUCUGCUACAGUAAAAGUUUGGUUAGAA